UUGUUGCUGGCCUCUAGGGGCAUGUGCACGCUUCACUAGUCUUUCAACCACCUGUGAACUUUUGAUAGAUCUGUGAAGUCGUCUCUCAAGUCGUCAGACUUGGUUGCUGGGAUUUAAACGUCUCGGUGUGACUACGCAGUCUAUUUACUUACACACCCCAAAUGUAUGUCUACGAAUGUCAUUUAAUGGGCCUUGUGCCUUUAAACCAUAAUACAACUUUCAACAACGGAUCUCUUGGCUCUCGCAUCGAUGAAGAACGCAGCGAAAUGCGAUAAGUAAUGUGAAUUGCAGAAUUCAGUGAAUCAUCGAAUCUUUGAACGCACCUUGCGCCCCUUGGUAUUCCGAGGGGCAUGCCUGUUUGAGUGUCAUUAAAUUCUCAAACUCACUUUGGUUUCUUUCCAAUUGUGAUGUUUGGAUUGUUGGGGGCUGCUGGCCUUGACAGGUCGGCUCCUCUUAAAUGCAUUAGCAGGACUUCUCAUUGCCUCUGCGCAUGAUGUGAUAAUUAUCACUCAUCAAUAGCACGCAUGAAUAGAGUCCAGCUCUCUAAUCGUCCGCAAGGACAAUUUGACAAUUUGACCUCAAAUCAGGUAGGACUACCCGCUGAACUUAAGCAUAUCAAUAAAGCGGAGGAA
rnacentral:rRNA from 1 species